GCGUCUCUGGUUCUCGGCACAGAAGCAGGGGCGGGACACCCUGGAGCCCCCGGUCUCCAAGGCGGCCCUCGUGGAGAGCAUUGCGGAGCUGAUUGAAAAUCUCCCUGGUCCGUCAGAGCCAAGCUCCAUCAUGCCCAGCUCCAUGGCCGCAGUUUGCAGCCUCAGCAAACUGAAGCCACCGCUCGCCCUGGAGCUAGAAUCUCGCCUCCUGCGGGCUCUUCUGAACAGGAUGUACACCCUGGGCACUGGGCAGGGCACCACACACUUCCGGGCUCUGUACAUCAACUAGUCGCAGAGCCUGGACAUCCUGCUCAGGGGCCUUCUGACAGAGACCCCCACCGUGGAGAAGCUGCAGCACCUCCUGGAGCACGUCCAUCCCUCUCUCCUGUCAAACAACACCCAGGAGAGAGCCAGGGCCGUACAGACCAGCGCGGCCCUGCUCCAGUUUGCCACCUCCCUGCCUGGAUUUGACACCUCCUCCGCCUUUUCCAAGGCAGGUGAAUUCGUGCUGCAGCUGGGUCUCUGUGUAUCCCACCCAGCCAGUGACAUCAGUCGGCAUGCCAGGGGUGGGAUAUAUUGGCUUUUCUGGCUCCUGCUUCAGAAGAGGGGUCUUUGGCGAGCUCUUCACGGAGGAGCAGAAAAGAUCUUUCCUCGAGGCGGGGCUGCUGGCCAUCCACGACCCCCUACUCCGCGUCAGCCAGGCUGGCCUGGUGCUGACCUAUUCCAUCUUGGGGGAAGCCGGCCAGCUGCUAGAGGACGAGGGGGACAUCACAGCCAACAUCAUGGUCCAGCUGUUUAAUAUCAGGGUCUUGGGCCAGGUGCCCGAUGCCCUGCAGGGGCUGUGCUCCGUGGGGCAGCCUUGAAGACCCCCCCCUCGCAUGACCAGCUCCCACCCCCUGCCGCAGCCUCGCUCCAGGCCCUCUACUCACCCACUCCAGCACUGCCUCUUCCUCCUCCUGAUCUUCCCCAACCCCUCUGAUUUCAACUACACGGAUUCGACCUUUGCAUGGAUACGGACUUUGGCUUGUACUUCUGACCACCCGACUUCGACCUGUGGCCUGGACAUGGACACUGGCUCUGGUUCUGCCAGACAUACUCAACACCCGGCAGCAGUAGAAAGGCCCCACCAUUAAUCAAAGCCUAACCCCGCCCCAUGACCCCUUAGUCCCUCCCACCUGUCACCGGAAGUCCCGCCCCAUGGGGGUAUUUCUUCGUGGUCAAGGCGGCCACAUGACUGGAAGCCAGGUGUGUCAUGUGACCCCUCUAAGAACUCCU